CCUACGGGAGGCAGCAGUGAGGAAUAUUGGUCAAUGGACGAGACUCUGAACCAGCCAAGUAGCGUGAAUGAUGACUGCCCUAUGGGUUUUAAGCUUCUUUUAUAUGGGAAUAAAAUGUUCCGCGUGUGGGAUUUUGUAUGUACCAUAUGAAUAAGGAUCGGCUAACUCCGUGCCAGCAGCCGCGGUAAUACGUAGGAUCCGAGCGUUGUCCGGAUUUGUUGGGGUUAAGGGGAGCGUAGGUGGAUUGUUAAGUAAGUUGUGAACGUUUGCGGCUCAACCGUAUAAUUGCAGUUGAAACUGGCAGUCUUGAGUACAGUAGAGGUGAGCGGAAUUCGUGGUGUAGCGGUGGAAUGCUUAGAUAUCACGAAGAACUCCGAUUGCGAAGGCAGCUAACUGGACUGCAACUGACACUGAGGCUCGAAAGUGUGGGAAUCAAACAGGAUUAGAUACCCGAGUAGUC
rnacentral:rRNA from 1 species